UGGGGGAUUUUGGACAAUGGGCGAAAGCCUGAUCCAGCAAUGCCGCGUGUGUGAAGAAGGCCUUCGGGUUGUAAAGCACUUUUGUCCGGAAAGAAAUCCUUGGCUCUAAUACAGUCGGGGGAUGACGGUACCGGAAGAAUAAGCACCGGCUAACUACGUGCCAGCAGCCGCGGUAAUACGUAGGGUGCAAGCGUUAAUCGGAAUUACUGGGCGUAAAGCGUGCGCAGGCGGUUUGCUAAGACCGAUGUGAAAUCCCCGGGCUCAACCUGGGAACUGCAUUGGUGACUGGCAGGCUAGAGUAUGGCAGAGGGGGGUAGAAUUCCACGUGUAGCAGUGAAAUGCGUAGAGAUGUGGAGGAAUACCGAUGGCGAAGGCAGCCCCCCUGGCCAAUACUGACGCUCAUGCACGAAAGCGUGGGGAGCAAACAGGAUUAGAUACCCUGGUAGUCCACGCCCUAAACGAUGUCAACUAGUUGUUGGGGAUUCAUUUCCUUAGUAACGUAGCUAACGCGUGAAGUUGACCGCCUGGGGAGUACGGUCGCAAGAUUAAAACUUAAAUGAAUUGACGGGGUCAUAGCUGUUUCCU
rnacentral:rRNA from 1 species